UAUCCUUCUAUAUUACCAUUUGCUUUUCAUUUCAUUGUAUCGUGCUUUUUUUUUUUAAUAAAUAAUGACAAAAUUAAAAUUUAAUUCAAUUUAAUAAUAAACUACAAUAAUGUAAUUGAUCUAAUCAAUACUAAUCAAAAACUAAUAAUCAUGCAAACAACUACUUUUACAUGAUUUCUAUUCACUACCUCUUAUCAACAAUUAAAAAAAUUAAAAGUCAGUCAUU
rnacentral:lncRNA from 1 species